UACGUAGGGGGCAAGCGUUGUCCGGAAUUAUUGGGCGUAAAGGGCUCGUAGGCGGUUUCUUAAGUCUGAUGUGAAAGCCCACAGCUCAACUGUGGAGGGUCAUUGGAAACUGGGGAACUUGAGUGCAGAAGAGGAGAGUGGAAUUCCACGUGUAGCGGUGAAAUGCGUAGAUAUGUGGAGGAACACCAGUGGCGAAGGCGACUCUCUGGUCUGUAACUGACGCUGAAGAGCGAAAGCGUGGGGAGCAAACAGG
rnacentral:rRNA from 1 species